CGUGGGUAACCUGCCUCAUACAGGGGGAUAACAGUUAGAAAUGACUGCUAAUACCGCAUAAGCGCACAGCAUCGCAUGAUGCAGUGUGAAAAACUCCGGUGGUAUGAGAUGGACCCGCGUCUGAUUAGCUAGUUGGUGAGGUAAAGGCCCACCAAGGCGACGAUCGGUAGCCGGACUGAGAGGUUGAACGGCCACAUUGGGACUGAGACACGGCCCAG
rnacentral:rRNA from 1 species